GGUCAUGAGUCCCAGUAACAAGCCCCGGCUUACUGGGCGGCAACCCUCCACCGCGGUGGGGUGCCCCGGGUGAAGACCUGGCCCUUGAAUGCGCAAGGCAUCAAGGACAAGCGCGGGUU
rnacentral:ncRNA from 2 species